UACGGGGGGAGCAAGCGUUGUUCGGAUUUACUGGGCGUAAAGGGCGCGUAGGCGGUCAGCACAAGUCAGUUGUGAAAUCUCCGGGCUUAACUCGGAAAGGUCAACUGAUACUGUGCGACUAGAGUGCGGAAGGGGCAACUGGAAUUCUCGGUGUAGCGGUGAAAUGCGUAGAUAUCGAGAGGAACACCUGCGGCGAAGGCGGGUUGCUGGGCCGACACUGACGCUGAUGCGCGAAAGCCAAGGGAGCGAACGGG
rnacentral:rRNA from 1 species